UAGUCCUACGGGGCGCAGCAGUAGGGAAUCUUCCACAAUGGACGAAAGUCUGAUGGAGCAACGCCGCGUGAGUGAAGAAGUAUUUCGGUAUGUAAAGCUCUAUCAGCAGGGAAGAAGAUGACAGUACCUGAGUAAGAAGCCCCGGCUAACUACGUGCCAGCAGCCGCGGUAAUACGUAGGGGGCAAGCGUUAUCCGGAUUUACUGGGUGUGAAGGGAGCGUAGACGGUUGUAUAAGUCUGGAGUGAAAGCCCGGGGCCCAACCCCGGGACUGCUUUGGAAACUGUGUAACUUGAGUACAGGAGGG
rnacentral:rRNA from 1 species